rnacentral:rRNA from 1 species
AUACGAAGGGUGCAAGCGUUACUCGGAAUUACUGGGCGUAAAGCGUGCGUAGGUGGUUGUUUAAGUCUGUCGUGAAAGCCCUGGGCUCAACCUGGGAAUGGCGAUGGAAACUGGGCGACUAGAGUGUGGCAGAGGGUAGUGGAAUUCCUGGUGUAGCAGUGAAAUGCGUAGAGAUCAGGAGGAACAUCCGUGGCGAAGGCGACUGCCUGGGCCCACACUGACACUGAGGCACGAAAGCGUGGGGAGCAAACAGGAUUAGAUACCCUGGUAGUCCACGCCCUAAACGAUGCGAACUGGAUGUUGGGUGCAAUUUGGCACGCAGUAUCGAAGCUAACGCGUUAAGUUCGCCGCCUGGGGAGUACGGUCGCAAGACUGAAACUCAAAGGAAUUGACGGGG